rnacentral:rRNA from 1 species
UACAGAGGGGGCAAGCGUUGUUCGGAAUUACUGGGCGUAAAGGGCGCGUAGGCGGCCUGUUAAGUCGAACGUGAAAUCCCCGGGCUCAACCCGGGAACUGCGUCCGAUACUGGCAGGCUUGAAUCCGGGAGAGGGAUGCGGAAUUCCAGGUGUAGCGGUGAAAUGCGUAGAUAUCGGGAGGAACACCGGUGGCGAAAGGCGGUUCUCUGGGCCUUACCUGACGCUGAGGAGCGAAAGCGUGGGGAGCGAACAGG